rnacentral:rRNA from 1 species
GAUGAACGCUGGCGGCGUGCCUAAUACAUGCAAGUCGAGCGAACAGACGAGGAGCUUGCUCCUCUGACGUUAGCGGCGGACGGGUGAGUAACACGUGGAUAACCUACCUAUAAGACUGGGAUAACUUCGGGAAACCGGAGCUAAUACCGGAUAAUAUAUUGAACCGCAUGGUUCAAUAGUGAAAGACGGUUUUGCUGUCACUUAUAGAUGGAUCCGCGCCGCAUUAGCUAGUUGGUAAGGUAACGGCUUACCAAGGCAACGAUGCGUAGCCGACCUGGGAGGGUGAUCGGCCACACUGGAACUGGGACACGGUCCAGACUCCUACGGGAGGCAGCGGUAGGGAAUCUUCCGCAAUGGGCGAAAGCCUGACGGAGCAACGCCGCGUGAGUGAUGAAGGUCUUCGGAUCGUAAAACUCUGUUAUUAGGGAAGAACAAAUGUGUAAGUAACUAUGCACGUCUUGACGGUACCUAAUCAGAAAGCCACGGCUAACUACGUGCCAGCCGCCGCCGUAA